rnacentral:rRNA from 1 species
GGAAUUGUUCGCAAUGGGCGCAAGCCUGACGACGCAACGCCGCGUGGAGGAUGAAGAAUUUCGGUUCGUAAACUCCUUUCGACCGAGAUGAAUACCUACGGACUUAAUACGUCCGUGGGCUGACAGUAUCGAGAGAAGAAGCCCCGGCUAACUCUGUGCCAGCAGCCGCGGUAAUACAGGGGGGGCACGCGUUGUUCGGAAUUACUGGGCGUAAAGGGUUCGUAGUGGGCCACCUAAGUCAGACGUGAAAUCCCUCAGCUUAACUGGGGAACUGCGUCCGAUACUGGGUGGCUUGAGUGCAGGAGAGGGAUGCGGAAUUCCAGGUGUAGCGGUGAAAUGCGUAGAUAUCUGGAGGAACACCGGUGGCGAAGGCGGCAUCCUGGACUGUAACUGACACUGAGGAACGAAAGCCAGGGGAGCAAAC